rnacentral:rRNA from 1 species
GGUCAAGCUAUUAAGGGCACAUGGGGGAUGUCUUGGCGUCAGAAGGCGACGACGGGCGUGGAAAACUGCGAAAAGCUAGGGGUAGCUGUUAAACAAGUUGUGAUCCCUAGAUUCCCUAAUUAUUGCAUACUGAAUCCAUAGGUAUGCAAGGCCAACCCAGGGAACUGAAACAUCUCAGUACCUGGUGGAAAAGAAAGAAAAUCGAUUUCGUUAGUAGCGGCGAGCGAAAGCGAAAGAGCCCAAACCGCGGAGGUUUUCCUCUGCGGGGUUGUAGGGCCGUUCACAUGAGAGUUACAAAGUCAUUGACUAACAGAAUGGCAAGGAAAGGCCAACCACAGAGGGUGACAGUCCCGUAAGUGAAAGUCAUAUGAUCUCUCGAGCGGUACCUGAGUAAGUCGAGUCACGUGAAACCUCGACUGAAUCCACGGGGACCAUCCCGUAAGGCUAAAUACUCUCUGACGACCGAUAGCGAACUCAGUAAGGCGACUGAAAGAUGAGAAGAACCCCGUCGAGGGGAGGAUAGUGAACCUGAAACCAUGUGCCUACAAGCGGUCGGAGCACUAUGAUCUUCGGAUAACGUGUGACGGCGUGCCUUUUGCAUAAUGAUCCGGCGAGUUACCGUCAGCGGCUCGGUUAAGGUCUUACGGACCGAAGCCAAAGGGAAACCGAGUCUGAAUAGGGCGACUAUGUCGCUGGCGGUAGACCCGAAACUGCGUGAUCUACCCAUGAGCAGGUUGAAGCGCGGGUUAAACUGCGUGGAGGACCGAACCCACUUGGGUUGAAAACCGAGGGGAUGACUUGUGGGGAGGAGUGAAAGUCUAAUCAAACGCAGAGAUAGCUGGUUCUCUCCGAAAUAGAUUGAGGUCUAGCCUCAAGGAACUACUUAGUAGGGGUAGAGAGACUGAAUUGGCAUGGGGGCCCUUCCAGGCUACCCAGCCGAGCCAAACUCCGAAUACUAUUAAGACUACCUUGGGAGUAAGACCGCGAGGGAUAAGCUUCGCGGUCGAGAGGGAAACAACCCAGACCAUCAGCUAAGGUCCCUAAGUAAUACUCAGUCACUAAGGAAGUGAAGUUGCAGUGACAGCCAGGAUGUUGGCUUAGAAGCAGCCACCAUUUAAAAAGUGCGUAACAGCUUACUGGUCGAGCAAUUUCGCGCCAAUAAUGAUCGGGAGUAAGUAUUACACCGAAGCAAUGGACUCGUAAGAGUGGUAGGAGAGCGUUGUACGCCAGAUACAAGCCAUACGGAAACGAAUGGUCUCGGGGCGUACAAGUGAUUAUGCCGGAAUGAGUAACGAUAAAACAGGUGAGAAUCCUGUUCGCCGAAAGCCUAAGGUUUCCUGGGGAAGGGAAAUCCGCCCAGGGUUAGCCGGUACCUUAGUCGAGGCCGAAAGGCGUAGACGAUGGAUAGCAGGUCAACAUUCCUGCGCUGGCGUGAUGAACUGAUGGAGUGACGGCGUCUGAAUGGUGAGCGGUACGACUAGAAAUGUCCGUAGGGUACAGUGAGUCAGGGGAUAGGCAAAUCCGCCCCGUACGACAAGCUGUAAACUCGAGAGCAUCCAAGUUCUCGAAGUCACUUGCAAGACGUCCAAGAAAAACUUCUAAGGGUUAAAGUCACGACAACCGUACUAAAACUGACACAGGUAGGCGAGACGAGGAGUCUAAGGCGCUCGGGAGAACGGUGGUUAAGGAACUCUGCAAAAUGACCCCGUAAGUUCGCGAUAAGGGGUGCCUCCGCGAGGAGGCCGCAGUGAAUCGGCUCUAGCGACUGUUUAUCAAAAACACAGGACUCUGCUAACACGUAAGUGGAUGUAUAGAGUCUGACGCCUGCCCGGUGCUAGUAGGUUAAGGAAGAAGGUUAGCGAAAGCGAAGCUUGCGACCGAAGCCCUAGUAAACGGCGGCCGUAACUAUGACGGUCCUAAGGUAGCGAAGUUCCUUGUCGGGUAAGUUCCGACCUGCAUGAAUGGCGUAACGACUGGAGCACUGUCUCAACCACCGACCCGGUGAAAUUGUAGCCGUGGUGAAGAUGCCACGUUCCCGCGGUUAGACGGAAAGACCCCAUGAACCUUUACUGUAGGCAGGUAUUGGGCUGAGGUAUGUUUUGUGUAGGAUAAGUGGGAGGCUAUGAAGGGGUAGCGCCAGCUAUCUCUGAGCCGUCGUUGAAAUACCACUCUGAAUAUGCUUUAGUUCUAACUUUGACCCGUGAAACCGGGCAAAGGACAUUUCCUGUUGGGCAGUUUGACUGGGGCGGUCUCCUCCAAAAGAGUAACGGAGGAGUGCAAAGGUACACUCAGCCUGGUUGGCAAUCAGGCUUUGAGCGCAAGGGUAAAAGUGUGCUUGACUGCGAGACAAAUAAGUCGAGCAGGUGCGAAAGCAGGUCCUAGUGAUCCGGUGAUUCCGAAUGGAAGGGUCAUCGCUCAUCAGAUAAAAGGUACUCUGGGGAUAACAGGCUGAUCGCUACCGAGCGUCCACAGCGGCGUAGCGGUUUGGCACCUCGAUGUCGGCUCAUCACAUCCUGGGGGUGAAGAAGCUCCCAAGGGUUUGGCUGUUCGCCAAUGAAAGUGGUACGUGAGCUGGGUUCAGACCGUCGUGAGACAGGUCGGUCCCUAUCUGCCGUGGGCGUACGAAAUUUGAGGAGGUUCUUCUUUAGUACGAGAGGAUUUAGAAGGACGAAGCUCUGGUGUACCAGUUGUCACGCUAGUGGCACGGCUGGAUAGCUAACUUCGGAAAAGAUAAACGCUGAAAGCAUCUAAGCGUGAAGCUCUCUCCAAGAUCAGAUUUCGUAGUACCUAGUACGAGAGUCCCCAAGAAGACGACUUGGUUGAUAGGAUGGAUGUGUAAGUGUAGUAAUAUACUUAGCUAACCANUACUAAUGGACGAACGCUUGGCCACAUA